UCCGGUUUGACACCGGCAGUCUCGCUAGAGUACUCGCCAUUACGCGUGAGCAACUAACGACAGGGGUUGCGCUCGUUAAGGGACUUAACCCGACACUUCACAGCACGAGCUGACGACAGCCAUGCAGCACCUGUGCACGUUCCGGUCUUGCGACUGUGGCUCCGCUUUCACGGAGUUGAUCCGUACAUGUCAAGCCCAGGUAAGGUUCUUCGCGUUGCCUCGAAUUAAGCAACAUGCUCCACCGCUUGUGUGAGCCCCCGUCAAUUCAUUUGAGUUUUAGCCUUGCGACCGUACUCCCCAGGCGGUGCACUUAUCGUUUUUACUGCGACUGAUACGGCGUCAAAACCGCACCAGUCUAGUGCACAUCGUUUACGGCGUGGACUAC
rnacentral:misc_RNA from 1 species